ensembl:lncRNA
UCUUUUCUUUUCUUAUGUUUAUUUGUUUUGAGAGAGAGAGACAGAGUGUGAGCAGGUGAGGGGCAGAGAGAGAGGGAGACCCAGAAUCCCAAGCAGGCUCCAGGCUCCGAGCUGUCAGCACAGAGCCCGAUGUGGGGCUCAAACCCACGAACUGUGAGAUCAUGACCUGAGCUGAAGUCAGACACCUAACCGACUGAGCCACCCAGGCGCCUGAGCCUUCCCCAAAUUCUGAGUCUACUCCUCCUAUACAGUCCUUCCAGUUCUGAAGCCCUCAUCUGGGGCCACACAUUCCGUCCCCCUUUGCACAUUGUCUGUGCACCCUUCCCUUUGACAAAGCCUGGAGAAAUUAUUUUCUCAUGUCACAGAUGGAAGCCUUGCUCCUCUCUUCAUAUAUUCCAGAGUUACUGUGCCCACCUUGAGUAAUUUCUACCGAUCACAUUUUAGGAUUUUGAAUCUCAAAACCAUCUUUCUGCUGCCACAUCCUUUAUUCAAGGCACUCAAUGAACAGCCUAGUUUAAAGAGAACCAAAUGAUGACAGAGCUGGAAACAAAAUUAGCUAUUUCAAAAGCAUUCCACUUCAAUCUGUCUUUCCUCCUUCUCUCCCUCCAGUUCUUGAAACAUCCACAUAUUCCCAUGAUCAUAGUGCAAAGCAGAAAGUCUCCAGAGCCUUACGGCAGGCACAGAUGAAAUGCGGAUGCAGACGAAGGAGAGAACACUGUCAGCUUCUGAAGAAACCUUGAAGGAUUGGGAGUUGGACACGACCCAGGAAAGGGCACUCCUGGUGGAAAGAGCAGCCUGGAGCCAGGCAGGGAGCAGAGAAGCACACAUCCACAGCAACUAUAGCUAUAUGUGGCUGUGCUACGACUCCUUCGGUCACAGAAUGUUGUGUGUACCAUACUGCCUGUGCAGUCAUCGUCAGCCAAAAAACAUAGGAAAGACUACCAGUGAGAACCACCUUGCCAAGUUCACUCAACACGAGAAUCAUGAGAGAUGGUGACUAUGCCUGCUGUAAGCCACUGGGUUUUAAGGUUGUCUCUGCAGUAACCGAUAACAAAAACAAUUAUUAAUGAGACUUCUUUUGUCUCUCAGAAGUGUUCUGUUGUGGACAAGGCAUUGCAUGGUUAACCUGCGUUUAGGAAGUAUAAACAACCGGGACAACCCAAACUCAAACCCAGGUGUACCUGUGCUUUGAACCAUAAGUUCACUAUGUAAGAGAGUAAAUGGUGUGUGCAUUUAAAUUCCCUGGGGAAAAUGAGAUGUUUUAUUAAUCUCUUCACACAUCAGAUUACCAGGCACUCUGUAAGUACUGAAUUAAAAAGUGUUUGUUAAGUGAAUAAUUAAAUACAUGGAUGGGUUAAAGAACGGAUGAGAAUCUGUGGCCCUUAGUUGGUAAAACAGUUGGGGAGACCAUGCACUUUUUUUUUUUUUUUGCAGAAAAAUAAGCCAGUGGAUACAUUUAUCAGCUCACCACAUGCUCCCACCGCCCAUUCUUCAGCCUAAGCUUUAACCAUUGUGGAGAUGAAAGGGUGCAAAAAAAAAAAUCUAGAAUAAAACCUAAUAUGAGGUUUCA